AUUUUAUGCUGGGAUUUCACUCCCCCAAGUCCCCUGACUUGUCCCUGGAGGGGCCUGUGCGCUGGGGGAAUUCACAGCCUGGCUUUCGUGCUCCAUUUGAAAUGAUUUCUGCUCACAUGAGGAACUUCUCUGAGACCGGCAGCUCCUGGAGACCAGUGUGUCCCUUCUCAGUGAAUGAGUGAACCCAACCAUAAAUAAGGAAACUGAAGACCAGGAAGGCUCUUGUGAUUUCCACUAACAGACCCCUCCGCAGGUCAGAGUCCGAGCAGGGAUGACCUUACCAGGAUCUCACAGUUCCAGAGCCGACACUAGAAGCCAGGACCACAGCCCCCACCCCAGCAGCCCCUUUUCCUGCCACCCCCUGUACCGUCACUCACCCUGGCA